rnacentral:lncRNA from 1 species
UCCUGGGUUCGAGUGAUUCUCUAGCCUCAGCCUCUCAAAUAGCUGGGACCACAGGCACGCGCCACCACUCCCGGCUAAUUUUUGGAUUUUUUGUAUAGACAGGUUUUCGCCAUGUUUGCCCAGGCUGGUCUUGAACUCGUGAGCUGAAAUGAAUUGUGUGCUUAAAAAUGGCUAAAAUGGUCAAUUUUUGUUAUGUAUAUAUUUACCACAGUAAAAAACUCAUAUCCUUGUAUUUUCAUAUCACUUGCUGUUUGUCUUAUUUUUAAAAAGACGUGUUACAUGCAUGGAUGAAUGAAUAAUGUAAAGGGGUUAUCCUGUAAUCCCAGAGUGUUAGGAUUACAGGCGUGAGCCACCAUGCCCGGCCCCUGUCUUUCUAUAAUAAUAUUUUAUUUUUAGGUAUGAAACUAUUUGUAAGCUCCUAAAGGAAAAAGCAGUGCCUUUUUUUUUUCUUUUCUUGAGUCUCCUACAAUGUCUGUGUACCCAAUGAGUGCUUGCUGGUACAUGAAACAAAGGGACAGGUAUCUGUGGAAAACUUAGACUUAAAAAAUUCGAAGACUUUGUUACCUGGAAUAAAGCACCAGUGGUGGCUCUCAUAGUAUUUUCUUUUCUCCUGUUCCAUUUAAGUAGCCCUUAAUGAUUUCCCUGCCUUUUCUCCUCGAAGCUAUUUUACAUAUGGCCAACAGAUUAAUCUUCCAAAAAUAUUGCUUUGUUCAUUUCCUUGCUUGAAAAGCCCCUUUAUCAGAACUUUGUUUACUAGAGAACAGACUCAAACCUCCCAACUCUAGACUGGUGGCCUCUCUCUUUACUGUCUGGCUCCUCUAAUCAGAGUCUUCUCUUCUUGAACACCAACUUUUCCUCUGUGUGAGACUGGUUUUCUGAUUGUGCUUUUCUGUCAUGCAGUUUCCUAAACCUUAAAGGCCCUCUUCCUUCCUGUCACUUCAUUAAGUCCCUUUCCUGGCCUGUAAGGCCCUACGAGAUCUGGCCUUCCUACUGGACCUCAUCUCGCAUUUCUCCCUUCCUUGUUGAGUAGGCUGCAGCUGCACUGCUCUUUCAAUUCCUCAUCUAUGCCACACCUCCCACCCCAGGGCUAAUGGCCCUACUGUUUCUUCUGAGUAGAACACUUUUUCUCUUAACUAGGUUUUUUUUUUUGUUCUUUUGUUUUUUGUUUUUAAAACACUAUUGACAUUUUGGACCAGAUAAUUCUUUGUCCUUUGGGGCUGUCUUAUUUUAGCUACUUCCCUGGCCUGUACCCAUUGAAUACUAAUAGUACCCUACCUCCAGUUAUGACAACCAGAAAUGCCUCCAGACAUUACCAGAUGUCCCCUCGGGGCAAAAUUGCCCCCUUGUUGAGAAAUACUGCCCUAGAUCCUUCCAUCUAAUUCCUUUUGGUCAUUUGAGUUUAAGCUUAAAUGUUGCUUUUUCACAGAAGUCUUCCUCAACCAGUCUAUUUAAAAUUUCCUUACACCCUCAUUGUCAUUUAACCAAGCAUCAUUUUUCUUCAGUUCUUCUGACCUGAAAUGAUUUUUUUGAUUUGUUUGCCGCCUCUCAUGAGAAUGUCAGUCCCUACAAGAGCAGGGACCAUAUGUUUCUUUUGUUGGCUGCUCUGUCUCCUAUGUCUUCAACAAUGCAUGGCAAGUAGUGGAAACAUAAUAAGUAUUUGUUGAUUGAGAGAAUAUGGUCCUUUUCUUCUGUCAAGGUUGAGUUUCCUCAUUUCCCACUAGCCUCUGAUACUCUCUCUUCCAAACUACCCCCAGUACUUCAGUCCCUGACAUGCUUAUUGAUAUUUUUAUGUUUAUCUCCUGUUUGUCCAACUGGAUUUUAGGCCCUUUGAAAGCAGGGACCAUGACAUUUGUUUAGUCAUUCAAUUCACAACUGUAUUUUAGUGCGGGCCACUGUGAUGAAUGCUGGGAUACAAUAGUAAACAACAUACAGUCUUUAUCCUCAAGGGACUUUCAGCCUAGUUGGGGAGGCAAAGAAAUAAGCAGUCCGUAUGAUGAGUGUCAUGAGAGGACCGCCCCCUGGUGUGUGGAAACACCAGAAAGGGUUCCCAAGUCAGGGCACUGUCUUCUGUGUAAGUGGCAUCUGUGCCUAGACUGGAAGUCUGAGCAGUCUAGUGAAAUGGGGGUUGUAGGUGGGAGGUUGGCAGGAAGCGAGUUCUAAACCAUAGGAAUAGCAUAUGCAAAGGCUUGGAGGCAAGAGGAAAUUGUGUCUGUAUCAGGAAAAUAGUUCAUUGUGCCUAGAACAUAGAGCAGGAAUGGAAGAGUG